rnacentral:rRNA from 1 species
UGUCGUAGCCAACGCGUUAAGUGUUCCGCCUGGGGAGUACGCACGCAAGUGUGAAACUCAAAGGAAUUGACGGGGGCCCGCACAAGCGGUGGAGUAUGUGGUUUAAUUCGAUGCAACGCGAAGAACCUUACCAGGGCUUGACAUCCUGCGAACCUCUGGGAAACCGGAGGGUGCCUUCGGGAGCGCAGAGACAGGUGGUGCAUGGCUGUCGUCAGCUCGUGUCGUGAGAUGUUGGGUUAAGUCCCGCAACGAGCGCAACCCACGUCUUUAGUUGCCAGCAUUAAGUUGGGCACUCUAGAGAGACCGCCGGUGACAAACCGGAGGAAGGUGUGGAUGACGUCAAGUCAUCAUGCCCCUUACGUCCUGGGCUACACACGUACUACAAUGCUACGGACAAAGAGCAGCAAACUCGCGAGGGUAAGCAAAUCUCAUAAACCGUGGCUCAGUUCAGAUCGUAGGCUGCAACUCGCCUACGUGAAGGAGGAAUCGCUAGUAAUCGCAGGUCAGCAUACUGCGGUGAAUACGUUCCCGGGCCUUGUACACACCGCCCGUCACACCAUGGAAGUUGGCCAUGCCCGAAGUC